CUGGAGUUAAGACGAGUGCUCCUCCCCUCCUGCGGUCAGGCAGCCCAUAUGUCACAGGACUUUGUAACAGGACAUUACUCAUUGGUUCCACAGUCACAAACAGGUCAGGAGUCAAGCUUUUUAAAGGGAAAAAAUCCUCU